rnacentral:rRNA from 1 species
GACGAACGCUGGCGGCGUGCUUAACACAUGCAAGUCGAACGGAAAGGCCCCGCUUUUGUGGGGUGCUCGAGUGGCGAACGGGUGAGUAACACGUGAGUAACCUGCCCUUGACUUUGGGAUAACUUCAGGAAACUGGGGCUAAUACCGGAUAGGAGCUCCUGCUGCAUGGUGGGGGUUGGAAAGUUUCGGCGGUUGGGGAUGGACUCGCGGCUUAUCAGCUUGUUGGUGGGGUAGUGGCUUACCAAGGCUUUGACGGGUAGCCGGCCUGAGAGGGUGACCGGCCACAUUGGGACUGAGAUACGGCCCAGACUCCUACGGGAGGCAGCAGUGGGGAAUAUUGCACAAUGGGCGGAAGCCGGAUGCAGCAACGCCGCGUGCGGGAUGACGGCCUUCGGGUUGUAAACCGCUUUCGCCUGUGACGAAGCGUGAGUGACGGUAAUGGGUAAAGAAGCACCGGCUAACUACGUG